rnacentral:rRNA from 1 species
UUACGGAAGGCAGCAGUAAGGAAUAUUGGACAAUGGUCGCGAGACUGAUCCAGCCAUGCCGCGUGAAGGAUGACGGCCCUAUGGGUUGUAAACUUCUUUUGUAUGGGAAGAAACCUCCGAACGUGUUCGGAGCUGACGGUACCAUAAGAAUAAGGAUCGGCUAACUCCGUGCCAGCAGCCGCGGUAAUACGGAGGAUCCGAGCGUUAUCCGGAUUUAUUGGGUUUAAAGGGUGCGUAGGCGGCUUUGUAAGUCAGUGGUGAAAUCCUGUCGCUUAACGACAGAACUGCCAUUGAUACUGCAGAGCUUGAAUAUGUUUGAAGUGGGCGGAAUGUGUAGUGUAGCGGUGAAAUGCUUAGAUAUUACACAGAACACCAAUUGCGAAGGCAGCUCACUAAACCAUAAUUGACGCUGAGGCACGAAAGUGUGGGGAUCAAACAGGAUUAGAUACCCCCGUAC